rnacentral:tRNA from 1 species
GCCGGGGUGGCGGAAUUGGUAGACGCAGUGAAUUCAAAAUCCACCGGUAGCAAUACCAUGCGGGUUCAAGUCCCGCCCCCGGUACCA